rnacentral:lncRNA from 1 species
AAGAGGGCCAAGUGGCAAACCAAUUUCUCAACAGUACUCUUUGGAGCUGCUUGAGAACAGAGGCCCUUUCCCUGUCAUUGCCUGCCCCACCCCUUCCUUUUUUGUAUUGACCAUAUUUGUUUCUCUGAGGGCUGGCAGAGUGUCUGUACUUCAUAGCUGUGCUAGGGAAGUAGGGCCUCACAGAGCUGGCUACUACAGCCUGGGUCUGAGGGCUGGCACAGUGCAUUUCAUGGCUGUGCUACAGGAGUAGGGCCUCACAGACGUGGCUACUGAAGCCGAUAUCUGCUGCUUCCUAGCUGUGCAACCUAGGACAAAUUACUCAAUCUCUCUGAGCCUGUUUCCUCAUCUGGAAAUACAGUGAACAAGGGAUGAUAACAUCUAAUGACUAUUGAUUACUGGCCCAUUGAGCACAGGCCAGGGGCUGUGUCGACACUGGCUGCAUGGGGGCAUUUCCCCAAGGAGUUCCUGCUGAAUAAGUGGGCAUGAAGCAGUGGUCAACAGCUUGGUCUCUAGAAUCCUGGCUCUGCAGUUUACCAGCUGUGCGACCCACAGCAUGUCCCUUCACCUCUCUGGGCUGAGGUUUCCCCUCCUAUUAAAGGGAUGGUGCAGGGAAGAGAAUUCGAGUGACAGCGCUCUCAAAGGCUUCAUGAGAAGUAAACAGAGUCUGGCAUGAACCUGCCGAUCUCAAGGCAUGAUGCGGAGUCAGGAGUGACAACUCAUUAAGAGAUGCCUGCAGAACAAUGAAUCCCUCACUGUAACAUUCCGGAGAAUGUUCCUAGGCCACACAAUUCCCCACAGAAAAAUGCCAUCUAGACCCCCGCCGACCCCAAUCAUGAAAUCGGCCUCUUCAGAAUAAGAUAAGAUAAAUGUCCAAGUUCCCCCAGCUGACAUAAUGUUUCAGCAGAACCACCUCACAACACCUUCCACUCCCCAGCAUCACUUCUCCUUUCCAACAGUACUGACUUCUGCUGCCUCAUGACUUUGGGGUCCACCUUCCCUGAGUGUCAGGAGACAACCUUCCCCUGUGGCCUGGACGCCAUUCUGAGAGUGUAAGGUCCUGAGUUGCAAUCUGGAAUGACGCCGGUGAAGAUAGGAUUAUGGACUUCUCUGUAACAGCCUUCCACAACCAAAUCUGCAGAAAGACCUCUACCCCUACAAAUGUGAUUCCUGUGGCUUUGCAAUGUGAUGAGUCAACGUGGUCUAGAGCCCAGGGCCUUUGCAUUUAACUCGUGGCGUGACCUUGGCCGAGACCAUUUCUCCCAGCAGAUAGGCUCCUCGCUUAGAACGAGAGGGUGCUGGAUUCCACCUUCGGCAAUCCAGGAUGAAGGAAUAUGCAAGCUCUUGUAGUGUGGUGAGAGGAUUUUCCACCACUGGCUUCUCUCUUCCAAAUAUGAAGGUGUCCCUGUCU